rnacentral:lncRNA from 10 species
AGAGAUUGCAGUGAGCUGAGAUCGUGCCACUGCACUCCAGCCUGGCAGAGUGAGACUCCAUCUUAAAAAAUAAAUAAAUAAAUAAAUAAAUAAAUCUCAUGUACUCCAUAGAUAUGGGGUACCUACUAUGUACUCACAAAAAUUAAUUUUUUUUUAGAAAAGCCUAAGCUCAUUUGCUUCUUAGUAAGAAUUAUGUUAAGAUUUCCCAGUGUAGAUACCCUAGGCUGCUAAUUUUUUUUCUUUUGUUAUCAGUAUCUUAAGAAAUUAAUUGGCCCGGGAGUGGUGGCUCAUGCCUGUAAUCCCUGCAGUUUGGAAGGCCAAGAUGGGAGGAUUGUUUGAGGCCAAGAGUUCAAAACCAGCCUGGGCAACAUAGUGAGAUACUAUCUGUAUAUAAAAUAAAAAAAUUAGUGAGGCAUGGUGUCAUAAGCCUGUGGUCCCAGCUACUUGGGAGGCUGAGGUGAGAGGAUUGCUUGAGCCCAGGAGGUCAAGGCUGCAGUGAGCUGUGAUGGUGACACUGCACUCCAGCCUGGGCUAUAGAGCAAGACCCUGUCACCCUCCUCAAAAAAAAAAAAAAAAAGCAAUUAAUUGAUUUAUUUAUGGCCAUUCUCUCUUUUUGUGAGCUGGAUAUGUGUUCACUUUCAUUCUAAAAACGUACAGCCCCCAAAGCCCACACAUGUUGUCAAAGCUCACUACAUUUACCUAGAGAGUUUCCUGUAGUCUCCUCUUUCAAGUAUUUUAAAUAAUGCGUAAUUUCUUCAUGUAACUGAAACAUGUUAAUGUUGAGUUGGCACAGGAAGAAAAGUUUUGAUUUACUCAGAACUGGGAUUUGUGUGGGUCAUUUCCUAGUCCUCCUAAGUAUUUAACAAAUGUAAAAUGUAACACACAAUUAAAUAAGCUACCCAAGCCAAAUGAACUGGUGAGUGCAUUAUAAAUAGCAACCAAAAUUAUUCUUCAGUUGUUAACUGGUAUGUCCUGAUUUAAUAAUGAAUUACAUCAUUUGACAAAUGAGAUAAGACUUCCACCUUUAGCUUUCUGAUCCAAACUUCUAAUAGUUGAAAUGUAUUAUUACCAUCUGGUGUCUGGCCUCUGAAAUGCCCUGGCGAUAUCUGCCUCAUUUCAAGUAGUUGGGGCUUGCAUAUGCCAGCAAAGCACUCUCCGAAGUGUCUUGAUUGGCAGGCCCAGAGAGAAGGCUAAGAACCGAAUGAACCAUGGAGAUAUAGCUCCAGCUCUGUAGAAGUUUCCUCUGGUUCAAGGCAGACUCAUUUUCUUAGUUUGUGCAGCAAAAAAAUUGUCAUGAUCGAAGUUGUUUUUAUUUUGGAUCUCAAUCCUGAAGGAUGCAAUUCCUAUACUUACCAAGAAUGUUUCCAUCUGUUUUAAAUUAUUUCACUCCUUUUACAAACUGGCAAUAAUUUUAACACCUUUUAUUUUCAGUGAAAAUAAUUCGAGAAUGAAGCUGAGAAUGAUACAUAAGCCUAGAGUUUUAACUCAGUGAAGUAAUAUGAUUCUGACAGUUCUUUAUUUUUUCCACAUUGUGUUAGAUUCCUAGUAAAAAGGGAAGAUGAAUCUUAUUGCUUUCAAAAACCUGACAAUAUGGUAUGUAGGACAGAAUGAACAUACAUAGAACAAUAUCCAAUAACACAGAUGAAGGUGUCAAAGCCAUUGCCAGACAGAGUGGUGCAGAUUGUGAGAUCAGUUUUCUUGGUAAGUGUUAUGGACUGAAUGUUGGUAUUCUCUAACAUUCAUAGAUUAUAAUCUAAUCCCCAAUGUGAUGGUAGCACUAUCUGGGGGUGAGACCUUUGGGAAGUAAAGGUCUUUUUCUCUCCACACCUGACCAAAAGUAGGAGCUCAACAAAUGUAUGUGCACUGAAAUGGAAUGGGGGCAAACAGCCUGGUGGUAUAGUACAAAGCAAAAUUUGGUUAUGGUAGGAGCAGUACAGAUACAUCUGGAUCACAAUCUAAAUUCUCUCCAGGGACCAAAUACAUAGAUUUACCCCUUGGGUUAUUGGUCUGGUAGACUCUUAAUUUUUAAUAGGGUUUAUAUAAUCUAGACUUCUUAUAACCUCUGCCCCACUGGAUAUAGGUAUUACUCAGUUGAAGUUAAAAAUUGAAUAUAGGAUUAU